GAUGAACGCUAGCGGAAGGCUUAAUACAUGCAAGUCGAGCGGUAGGUGGCUUCGGCCAUUGAGAGCGGCGCACGGGUGAGUAACGCGUAUAUGACCUGCCUGUCAGAAGGGGAUAGCCCUGGGAAACUGGGAUUAAUACCCUAUGGUAUUGAUAUUAUGAAUGAUAUCAAUUAAAGUUGAGGCGCUGACAGAUGGAUGUGCGUCUGAUUAGCUAGUUGGUAGGGUAACGGCCUACCAAGGCGACGAUCAGUAGGGGGCGUGAGAGCGUGGUCCCCCACACGGGUACUGAGACACGGACCCGACUCCUACGGGAGGCAGCAGUAAGGAAUAUUGGGUCAAAUGCCCCGCAAAGGGGUGAACCCAGCCAUUCCGCGUGGAGGAUGAAGGCCCUAUGGGUUGUAAACUUCUUUUAGAUGGGAAGAAAAUGCUAGAUGUAUCUGGUACUGACGGUACCAUCAGAAUAAGCACCGGCU
rnacentral:rRNA from 1 species